ensembl:snoRNA
GUUGUCAUGCCAUUAGAGAAUGGUACUUUCUGUGGGCUUCUCCUAGUGUAACUGCCAGAGGAGCUUGCAGCCCUGAACCAUUGCCCAGCCUCCUCAGAGGUGGGCUGUGAGCACUGAAGGGGGCUGUACAGUG